GCGGCCGCGGGCACCGGGAGAGCAGCGCGCCGCGGCCCCUCGCCUCCCUCAGAGCGCUCCGCACCGCCGUCCCCACCGACCUUCAACGGGGCCGGGGCCAGGCUCCGACCGCCAGCAGUCGGCUCCUCCGUGCAGUCCCGGGUAGAGAGCCCGGUCCCUGCGCUAGUCGAUUUGUGCAGUAGGAAAGGAGGCUGCAGGGGAUCUGCGCCGGGGCAGGACAGAUGCCUUUCGGGACCCAGUGUUUGCAUCUUGGGAGAUGUGGGUGCUGAUCUGGUUGUUUCUUGGUUUAUGACGCCAAAAAGGGCGGGAGGGGGCUGAUGAAGUGAAGCCUUUCGCUAAUACAUUCCGUUAACAGAAAAAAAAAAAAAA
rnacentral:lncRNA from 1 species